AUGACUUUCAGCACCAUAUUGAUCUGGACGCUGGCAGUAUUAUGUCGAGAAUCUGUUGGCUGGGUGACAGUGACUCAAACUCCCUCAGAGCUGCUCUCUCAAACUGGACAAUCAGUCACUGUGACCUGUAAAUUUAACAAAUCUGAACCAACAGCAACCAUGAGCUUCAUCACCAUCUUCAUCUGGAUGUUCACUAGCUACUGUUUCACAGAAUCAGCUGGUGAAGUGACAGCCACUCAGACGCCUGCAGUGAAAUCUGUUCGUCCAGGAGACACAUUUACCAUGUCCUGUAAAACCAGUACUGAAGUUUACCAGGGUUGGGGUAAUCAGCCUUUAGCCUGGUACUUACAGAAACCUGGAGAAGCUCCUAAACUCCUGAUAUAUUUAGCAAGCACCCUCCAGUCAGGAACUCCAUCUAGAUUCAGUGGCAGUGGAUCUAACAGUGAUUUAACUCUGACCAUCAGUGGAGUCCAGACUGAAGAUGCUGGACAUUAUUACUGUCAGGGUUUACACAGUGGCUGGGUGUUCACACAGUGA